UGGCAUGGUGGCCCACGCCGGCGGCCAGCAGCGCCGCUUUGCUUUUGUUGUUGGAGGAGCACGAAGCGGCGGCAGCCUCCUCGGCCAUUUUCACAUCCAGCCCGAUGAAGUCCACGGAGUCCUCGAAGCGCAACUUCUUGUGGAUGGGCGAGCAGGAGGAGGACGAGGUGUAGAUUUUUUUUUAAAUCACACUGAUCAAGAGUGAACAUUUGCAAUGGAACUUGUGACGUGUUGCCCUCCAAAAAGCGGGAGAGUGAAGUGGAAGCAUCACUCAAGGCAGGCAGGCAAAGAAGGCACUGUAUUGCAAUGUUGGUUCCUGUAAAAUUUGAUCAAACCCAGAGAUACGUUAGAGUGGCUGAAACUGAAGGGGGCUUUGACGAUUUUGGCACGUUUAUUAAGAAGGCCAUAGAUAAGCUGGGUCUUCCAUUCGAGACGCAGCUUUCAUUGACCAAUGGGACGGGAACAGAAGUGGUUGCUGAUGUGUUAAAAACGGCAAACCUUACCAUAAAUGUGUCUGCAGAAAGGUCA